rnacentral:rRNA from 1 species
CCUACGGGGGGCUGCAGUGGGGAAUAUUGGACAAUGGGGGCAACCCUGAUCUAGCCAUGCCGCGUGUGUGAAGAAGGCCCUCGGGUUGUAAAGCACUUUCAGUGAGGAAGAACGCCUGGUGGUUAAUACCCAUCAGGAAAGACAUCACUCACAGAAGAAGCACCGGCUAACUCCGUGCCAGCAGCCGCGGUAAUACGGAGGGUGCGAGCGUUAAUCGGAAUUACUGGGCGUAAAGCGCGCGUAGGUGGCUUGAUAAGCCGGUUGUGAAAGCCCCGGGCUCAACCUGGGAACGGCAUCCGGAACUGUCAAGCUAGAGUGCAGGAGAGGAAGGUAGAAUUCCCGGUGUAGCGGUGAAAUGCGUAGAGAUCGGGAGGAAUACCAGUGGCGAAGGCGGCCUUCUGGACUGACACUGACACUGAGGUGCGAAAGCGUGGGUAGCAAACAGGAUUAGAUACCCGUGUAGUC